AGCAAGUAUAUAAAGAAACUAUUAGGAAUACCUUGCUAUAUAUUAAAGAGAGUAAUAUUUUAAAUUGUGUAAAUUUACUUAACACAUGAACUCUUAGAUAAAUUCAGUAAUAAACGAAGUGAAUUGAAACAUCUUAGUAGCUUUAGGAAAAGAAAUCAAACGAGAUUCUACGAUUAGUGUGAAUUAAAGUAGAAGAGCCUAGAGUAUUAAAAGGAGAUAAGGGAUAACUAAAUCUCUAUUAAUACUUUAAAUAAGUAGAACGGGCUAUAAACCUGUUUGAAUGUUAAGGGGAACCUUCCUCUAAGGCUAAAUAUAAUAUAUAAGCGACAGCGUAUAGUUCUGUGAAGGAAAGGUUUGAAUUAGUAGUUUUAUAAGCAGCUCAAGCAAAGUUUAAAUACAUAGUGAGAGCGUACCUUUUGCAUAAUGGGUCAGUAAGUUAAUGUUAGAUGCGAGCAGCAAUGCCCAGAUAAACCAAUUAUGAAAUAAUGAAUUAGUAUCUAAAAUUAGACCCGAAGCCUGGUGAUCUUACCAUAGUCAGGGUUAUAAAAGCCCGAACGGGUUAUCGUUGUAAAGAUAUCCGAUGAACUGUGGUAAGUUAGUGAAAGACAAAACUGACCAGGAUAGCUGGUUUUCUGCGAAACCUAUAGAAGUA
rnacentral:ncRNA from 1 species